CCUACGGGUGGCAGCAGUGGGGAAUAUUGGACAAUGGGGGGAACCCUGAUCCAGCCAUGCCGCGUGUGUGAAGAAGGCCCUCGGGUUGUAAAGCACUUUCAGUGAGGAAGAACGCCUGGUGGUUAAUACCCAUCAGGAAAGACAUCACUCACAGAAGAAGCACCGGCUAACUCCGUGCCAGCAGCCGCGGUAAUACGGAGGGUGCGAGCGUUAAUCGGAAUUACUGGGCGUAAAGCGCGCGUAGGUGGCUUGAUAAGCCGGUUGUGAAAGCCCCGGGCUCAACCUGGGAACGGCAUCCGGAACUGUCAAGCUAGAGUGCAGGAGAGGAAUGUAGAAUUCCCGGUGUAGCGGUGAAAUGCGUAGAGAUCGGGAGGAAUACCAGUGGCGAAGGCGGCCUUCUGGACUGACACUGACACUGAGGUGCGAAAGCGUGGGUAGCAAACAGGAUUAGAUACCCGGGUAGUC
rnacentral:rRNA from 1 species